AGAGUUUGAUCCUGGCUCAGAUUGAACGCUGGCGGCAUGCCUUACACAUGCAAGUCGAACGGCAGCACGGGAGCUUGCUCCUGGUGGCGAGUGGCGAACGGGUGAGUAAUAUAUCGGAACGUACCCUAGAGUGGGGGAUAACGCAGCGAAAGUUGCGCUAAUACCGCAUACGAUCUACGGAUGAAAGUGGGGGAUCGCAAGACCUCAUGCUCAUGGAGCGGCCGAUAUCUGAUUAGCUAGUUGGUGGGGUAAAGGCCUACCAAGGCAUCGAUCAGUAGCUGGUCUGAGAGGACGACCAGCCACACUGGAACUGAGACACGGUCCAGACUCCUACGGGAGGCAGCAGUGGGGAAUUUUGGACAAUGGGGGCAACCCUGAUCCAGCAAUGCCGCGUGAGUGAAGAAGGCCUUCGGGUUGUAAAGCUCUUUUGUCAGGGAAGAAACGGUGAGGGCUAAUAUCCUUUGCUAAUGACGGUACCUGAAGAAUAAGCACCGGCUAACUACGUGCCAGCAGCCGCGGUAAUACGUAGGGUGCAAGCGUUAAUCGGAAUUACUGGGCGUAAAGCGUGCGCAGGCGGUUAUGUAAGUCAGAUGUGAAAUCCCCGGGCUCAACCUGGGAAUGGCAUUUGAGACUGCAUGGCUAGAGUGUGUCAGAGGGGGGUAGAAUUCCACGUGUAGCAGUGAAAUGCGUAGAGAUGUGGAGGAAUACCGAUGGCGAAGGCAGCCCCCUGGGAUAACACUGACGCUCAUGCACGAAAGCGUGGGGAGCAAACAGGAUUAGAUACCCUGGUAGUCCACGCCCUA
rnacentral:rRNA from 1 species